rfam:Rattus norvegicus chromosome 19, whole genome shotgun sequence.
GGGGAUUUAGCUCAGUGGUAGAGCGCUUGCCUAGCAAGCGCAAGGCCCUGGGUUCGAUCCCCAGCUCCCA